UGGGACUACAUGGCACUGAUGCUAUGGCAGGACUUCUGAGUCCACUGACUCAGAGCUUUCUGACUGCAGAUCAGUUUGCUGGGCUCCCAUUCCGACUACUAAGCUGAGUAAGAGAGCUCCUGACCCUUGCCUGGCCUCUAAUUGUGCUGACCCAUCCUGAUGCCAGUGACCUCCUGCCUCCCGUCUUCAGCUCUGAUGCCUUUCGAAACUGUGACUGUUCUACUUUAUUAUCGCAUUUGGGUUCAGUGACCUGGUGGAGUAGGAAAAGCAUGUACGUGCUAUUCCCAUUUAGAAACACAGAAAUAUGAUCCUCCCAUUAAUAAACAAAUUAGCAUCAAAAUCA